rnacentral:rRNA from 1 species
UACGUAGGGUGCGAGCGUUAAUCGGAAUUACUGGGCGUAAAGCGUGCGCAGGCGGUUAUAUAAGUCAGAUGUGAAAUCCCUGGGCUCAACCUAGGAACUGCAUUUGAGACUGUAUGGCUAGAGUGUGUCAGAGGGGGGUAGAAUUCCACGUGUAGCAGUGAAAUGCGUAGAUAUGCGGAGGAACACCGAUGGCGAAGGCAAUCCCCUGGACCUGUACUGACGCUCAUGCACGAAAGCGUGGGGAGCAAACAGG